rnacentral:snRNA from 1 species
GUCCCUGUUGGGGAGGGGGAGGGGGCUGCUAUUGGAACCCUAACAGUAUCUGUUCUUAUCAGCUUAAUAUCUGAUACCUCCUCUAUCCAAGGACAACAUAUUAAAUGGAUUUUUGGAACUAGGAGAUGGAAUAGGAGCUUGCUCCAUCCACUCCAUGCAUUAACCUGGUAUUGCAGUAUCUCCAGAAAUGGUGCACCCCUU